AUUGAACGCUGGCGGAAUGCUUUACACAUGCAAGUCGAACGGCAGCACGGGGCAACCUGGUGGCGAGUGGCGAACGGGUGAGUAAUAUAUCGGAACGUGCCCAAUCGUGGGGGAUAACGUAGCGAAAGUUAACGCUAAUACCGCAUACGAUCUACGGAUGAAAGCGGGGGAGUCGCAAGACCUCGCGCGAAUGGAGCGGCCGAUAUCAGAUUAGGUAGUUGGUGGGGUAAAGGCUCACCAAGCCAACGAUCUGUAGCUGGUCUGAGAGGACGACCAGCCACACUGGAACUGAGACACGGUCCAGACUCCUACGGGAGGCAGCAGUGGGGGAAUUUUGGACAAUGGGCGCAAGCCUGAUCCAGCCAUUCCGCGUGCAGGAUGAAGGCCUCGGUUGUAACGUA
rnacentral:rRNA from 1 species